rnacentral:rRNA from 1 species
GAUGAACGCUAGCGGCAGGCCUAAUACAUGCAAGUCGAACGGUAAGUUUUGUAGCAAUACAGAAUCAAGAGUGACGUAAGGGUGCGUAACACGUAUGCAAUCUGCCCUCAACAGGAGUAUAGCUCGGGGAAACCCGGAUUAACGCUCCAUAAGAUAUAAGACCGGCAUCGGUCAGAUAUUAAAUUCACGGAGGUUGAGGAUGAGCAUGCGGAUGAUAGCUAGUUGGUAGUGUAACGGACUACCAAGGCGAUGAUCAAUAGGGGAACUGAGAGGUUGAUCCCC